UCAUGAAGAGAUCUUUUCGAUGAGCCAGCCAUUCAACUAAGGUAAACAAGUUAAUCUGAAUCUGCCUAGGCCGACCAAGGUUCCCACUGGUACGUUGGCUAACCUUAUCUAGGAAUCAAGGAGCCAGCCAUUCAACUAAGGUAAACAAGUUAAUCUGAAUCUGCCUAGGCCGACCAAGGUUCCCACUGGUACGUUGGCUAACCUUAUCUAGGAAUCAAGGAUAAUGCUCCAAAGUACCUCUAAGUACGUUAUUAUACCUGCCUACACGUGUUGCUCAGUUUGCCAGGAGUCACAUAGAAGAACUUAAGACCAGGUGUACCAGAUAAACUAGAAGAGAUAGAAUGUACAACCGUAAUCAUGGAAUACAACUAAGAUAUAAUGAAAGGCAAGGGAGCUUACACGUAAGAGGGCAAGAACCGUUGGAUCCAGGUAAGAUCCGAUGGACAUAACAGUAAUCAGAGUACACUCUAUAAAUAGGUAAAAACCCUAAGGUUAAGGUAUGUUUUUCACUUAUUCUACUUUUAUUAAGUCUUCUUCUCCUCCUCACUUGAUACUAACUUGAGCGUUGGAGUGCUAACGCUGGCAUCAACACCGGUGUGUUUUGCAGGAUUAAGAAGGAAGAACUAGGUGAGCAUUCAGUCAUGACAGACUUCAUGGUGUAAGCUGCUGGACAAACUUACAGUACAAAUGGGGCAAGCCAAUUUGACGUCUAAGCUAGUGUGCCAUUAAUUACAAAAAUCUUGUGGCGGUAAUUAAAUACUGUAACGAUCAUUUUGUUUCAAACCAUUUGUUUUACCAUAGAGAGUUCAACAUUAUGAAUUCUGAUGCUUUGUUGUUGGAUGGCUCACAUGCCUGAGCAACCAUAGAAAUUGUAUUAAGCCAGCACUAUGUUACGGUUGUUUAGUUACGAGUCAAUUUCAUUGUUGUAAAUAAGUAAUUUAGACAAAAAAAACUUUAAUUAUAUUAUGUAAAUUGCACUGAAA
rnacentral:lncRNA from 1 species